UAAUUUAUGUUUUAUUUAUUCACAAAAUAAGCAUUAUACUGUUUGUUAUAUAUGGAGGGUAUCAAACAAGCAGGAUCAGUCAAGACAAGGUCUAGUUCUCUACAAUGGGUCCCCCUUCAUGAUCAGCAGAAACUGUGGGCAGCUAACUUGUGAAUCAGUAACCCUUGGUGGUGAAAGUGAAGGCACAGAUAAUGUCAUACAAGUGGACAGGCUGUAGAGGCAAAACCUUAGUAUUAUGCUUACUGGUCUAUUCUCUCAUUUACAAAGUGGAACUCAAAGUAUCAUUCAAAUACAAUGUGAUAUUCAGAUGGCCAUGAAUCUACCGGAUUACAAGAAAAUCACAGGUGUUUUGGUUUCACAAUAGCAGGAAAUCAAGGGAGAGGAACCAUGCACUCGGGUACAAAUUGGGGCAGGGUGUCUCUAACUGGGGGGGUGGAGAGGAGGAACGUGUCCCUGAGACUAGAGAGGGUCACUCUGGAAGACAGGGGAGAGUAUGUGUGCCAUGUCAGCAGCGAACAUUGGUAUGAAAAGGCCAAAGUGUCCCUCGCUGAUUGGUAAGGAGCAGAGGACUAUGUUUCUUCAAUUGAUGAACCUGUAAACAAACAUAACAUGUGAUGUAAACUUGUUUAGGGAGAGAUACUGUGCUUUUGGGUUGAAUCUAGUUCCGAAUCUAACUAGUAUUACUCAUUUUGUUGAAUUUAUGAACAAUUCUUGAAAAUAGAACAAACUUUUCUAACAGUGCUAUCUAUUUUUGGGGUUGAACUCUCUAUAUUUCCAAUAGUACUAGGUGGUAUCCCAGUUGUCUCUAUUGCUGAAGCAAGAGGAAGUGGAGGUCAGGUGAACGUUACCUGUUCAUCAGUGGGCUGGUCACCACAACCUACAGUCACCUGGAGAAACAAAGAGGGGAAAGAGAUCAGAAAUGGACAAGAAGUUCUCUACACAUCUGAUUCUCAGGGCUUGGUGAGUGUAAGUAGUUGGCUGCUGUAUUCUCUCUCAGACUCAGAUUGGCUCUCCUGUACAGUCUCUCUGUCUGAGGA